CCUACGGGUGGCAGCAGUCGAGAAUCAUUCACAAUGGGGGAAACCCUGAUGGGGCGACGCCGCGUGGGGGAAUGAAGGUCUUCGGAUUGUAAACCCCUGUCAUGUGGGAGCAAAUUAAAAAGAUAGUACCACAAGAGGAAGAGACGGCUAACUCUGUGCCAGCAGCCGCGGUAAUACAGAGGUCUCAAGCGUUGUUCGGAAUCACUGGGCGUAAAGCGUGCGUAGGCUGUUUCGUAAGUCGUGUGUGAAAGGCGCGGGCUCAACCCGCGGACGGCACAUGAUACUGCGAGACUAGAGUACUGGAGUGGGAACCGGAAUUCUCGGUGUAGCAGUGAAAUGCGUAGAUAUCGAGAGGAACACUCGUGGCGAAGGCGGGUUCCUGGACAUUAACUGACGCUGAGGCACGAAGGCCAGGGGAGCGAAAGGGAUUAGAUACCCUUGUAGUC
rnacentral:rRNA from 1 species